rnacentral:rRNA from 1 species
UAGGGAAUCUUCCACAAUGGGCGAAAGCCUGAUGGAGCAACGCCGCGUGNGUGAUGAAGGGUUUCGGCUCGUAAAACACUGUUGUAAGAGAAGAAUGACAUUGAGAGUAACUGUUCAAUGUGUGACGGUAUCUUACCAGAAAGGAACGGCUAAAUACGUGCCAG